UACGUAGGGUGCAAGCGUUAAUCGGAAUUACUGGGCGUAAAGCGUGCGCAGGCGGUUAUGUAAGACAGGUGUGAAAUCCCCGGGCUUAACCUGGGAACUGCAUUUGUGACUGCAUAGCUAGAGUACGGUAGAGGGGGAUGGAAUUCCGCGUGUAGCAGUGAAAUGCGUAGAUAUGCGGAGGAACACCGAUAGCGAAGGCAGCCCCCUGGGUCAAGAUUGACGCUCAUGCACGAAAGCGUGGGGAGCAAACAGG
rnacentral:rRNA from 1 species